UUUUAUAAUGUUUCUUUGUGUUUUACCAUUAUUGCUCCUGGUGUUAUGAUUGAUGUUAACACUGAAAACAUGGUUACUGUAACCAUUACUUUCAAUCUUAUUGGUUCUUUAUUUGCUUUUGCCACUGCUGCUACUACCAUUUUUGAUAUUAUUAACCCCCCUCCUUGAAUAAUUAAGUUUUCUUUGUGUUAGUUGUAUGUAGCUUAGCUAGUUGGAGGCUAACACCAUAGCUGAUCCUCUUCCAUUCCUUCUGACAGAUGGCAACAGCUGGGAACAGCAGCAAUGGCAAUGUAGGAGCUGAGGGUGGCAAUGGCACUGGAGGGUCGUCUAGUGAAGACUCCAAUGACAGCGAAGAUGACGAUUCUGAAGGACACCGGGGUAUCCAGUGUGCUACACACUAGUUCUCUUGGCAUUCGUGGGACACAAACCGAAGACAGUUUUCAAGUUUAUAUCAAGCUAACUGCAUAUUUCUGUGUGACCUAUGAAAAUUACAAGCUUUAGAAAAUAACUUAUAACCUGAAUGGGUUUAACAGUAUGGGGUAGAGGUAAGUUCAGUGAAAGUUC